UGGGAGCCUCUUUUAUGGGGUGACUGCGUACCUUUUGUAUAAUGGGUCAGCGACUUAUAUUCUGUAGCAAGGUUAACCGAAUAGGGGAGCCGAAGGGAAACCGAGUCUUAACUGGGCGUUAAGUUGCAGGGUAUAGACCCGAAACCCGGUGAUCUAGCCAUGGGCAGGUUGAAGGUUGGGUAACACUAACUGGAGGACCGAACCGACUAAUGUUGAAAAAUUAGCGGAUGACUUGUGGCUGGGGGUGAAAGGCCAAUCAAACCGGGAGAUAGCUGGUUCUCCCCGAAAGCUAUUUAGGUAGCGCCUCGUGAAUUCAUCUCCGGGGGUAGAGCACUGUUUCGGCAAGGGGGUCAUCCCGACUUACCAACCCGAUGCAAACUGCGAAUACCGGAGAAUGUUAUCACGGGAGACACACGGCGGGUGCUAACGUCCGUCGUGAAGAGGGAAACAACCCAGACCGCCAGCUAAGGUCCCAAAGUCAUGGUUAAGUGGGAAACGAUGUGGGAAGGCCCAGACAGCCAGGAUGUUGGCUUAGAAGCAGCCAUCAUUUAAAGAAAGCGUAAUAGCUCACUGGUCGAGUCGGCCUGCGCGGAAGAUGUAACGGGGCUAAACCAUGCACCGAAGCUGCGGCAGCGACGCUUAUGCGUUGUUGGGUA
rnacentral:rRNA from 1 species